UGAUACGUACAUCCACAUUCGGUGGUCCAACGAUGUUCGUGCACAUCGACGCAUACGGGUGUCGUUAUUCUCUGCGCGCGAAUAACGUCGUAUAAUAUUACAAUAACGACUAAUCGUUGUUAUUAUUAAUAUUAUACUUACAUAAUUAUAUUGCCAUCUUCCUUUGUACACAGCUCAGCCUCGCCGACGAUCUGCGAAACUUGAGCCAAGAGGAACGAAACAUGGAGGCACUGUUGGAGGAAAGGAUUCAACUGCUGCAGGACCGCAUGAAAGCGAUCACUGCGCAGCGAGAACAAAUCGAACAAGCUAAUCGCGGGCUAGAGGAAGAGCUCAACAAGCUCAGUAAGAAUUUUGUGAAAAUAACGAACAAUGUCAAAGUUACGGAUGAAACAGAAGAAGAAAAAACGAAUUAAUCAGUUCCUUGAUGUAUUCAAUUAUAUUAAUUGAACUAUAACAAUAAUUACUUAAAACUACUUUGAA